rnacentral:rRNA from 1 species
GACGAACGCUGGCGGCGUGCCUAAUACAUGCAAGUAGAACGCUGAAGAGAGGAGCUUGCUCUUCUUGGAUGAGUUGCGAACGGGUGAGUAACGCGUAGGUAACCUGCCUUGUAGCGGGGGAUAACUAUUGGAAACGAUAGCUAAUACCGCAUAACAAUGGAUGACACAUGUCAUUUAUUUGAAAGGGGCAAUUGCUCCACUACAAGAUGGACCUGCGUUGUAUUAGCUAGUAGGUGAGGUAACGGCUCACCUAGGCGACGAUACAUAGCCGACCUGAGAGGGUGAUCGGCCACACUGGGACUGAGACACGGCCCAGACUCCUACGGGAGGCAGCAGUAGGGAAUCUUCGGCAAUGGGGGCAACCCUGACCGAGCAACGCCGCGUGAGUGAAGAAGGUUUUCGGAUCGUAAAGCUCUGUUGUAAGUCAAGAACGAGUGUGAGAGUGGAAAAUUCACACUGUGACGGUAGCUUACCAGAAAGGGACGGCUAACUACGUGCCAGCAGCCGCGGUAAUACGUAGGUCCCGAGCGUUGUCCGGAUUUUUUGGGCGUAAAGCGAGCGCAGCGGUUUGAUAAGUCUGAAGUUAAGGCUGUGGCUCAACCAUAGUUCGCUUUGGAAACUGUCAAACUUGAGUGCAGAAGGGGAGAGUGGAAUUCCAUGUGUAGCGGUGAAAUGCGUAGAUAUAUGGAGGAACACCGGUGGCGAAAGCGGCUCUCUGGUCUGUAACUGACGCUGAGGCUCGAAAGCGUGGGGAGCGAACAGGAUUAGAUACCCUGGUAGUCCACGCCGUAAACGAUGAGUGCUAGGUGUUGGAUCCUUUCCGGGAUUCAGUGCCGCAGCUAACGCAUUAAGCACUCCGCCUGGGGAGUACGACCGCAAGGUUGAAACUCAAAGGAAUUGACGGGGGCCCGCACAAGCGGUGGAGCAUGUGGUUUAAUUCGAAGCAACGCGAAGAACCUUACCAGGUCUUGACAUCCCGAUGCUAUUUCUAGAGAUAGAAAGUUACUUCGGUACAUCGGCGACAGGUGGUGCAUGGUUGUCGUCAGCUCGUGUCGUGAGAUGUUGGGUUAAGUCCCGCAACGAGCGCAACCCCUAUUGUUAGUUGCCAUCAUUCAGUUGGGCACUCUAGCGAGACUGCCGGUAAUAAACCGGAGGAAGGUGGGGAUGACGUCAAAUCAUCAUGCCCCUUAUGACCUGGGCUACACACGUGCUACAAUGGUUGGUACAACGAGUUGCGAGUCGGUGACGGCAAGCUAAUCUCUUAAAGCCAAUCUCAGUUCGGAUUGUAGGCUGCAACCCGCCUACAUGAAGUCGGAAUCGCUAGUAAUCGCGGAUCAGCACGCCGCGGUGAAUACGUUCCCGGGCCU